UACGUAGGGGGCAAGCGUUGUCCGGAUUUAUUGGGCGUAAAGAGCUCGUAGGUGGUUCGGUAAGUCGGAUGUGAAAUCUCCAGGCUCAACCUGGAGGGGUCAUUCGAUACUGCCGUGACUAGAGUUCGGUAGGGGAGUGUGGAAUUCCUGGUGGAGCGGUGAAAUGCGUAGAUAUCGGGAGGAACACCAGUGGCGAAGGCGGCUUUCUGGUCUGCUCUUGACGCUGAGGCGCGAAAGCUAGGGUAGCAAACGGG
rnacentral:rRNA from 1 species